rnacentral:lncRNA from 1 species
UUUUUGGUAGGAGAAGAUACGAGUUUACCUAACAAAAAUAAAUAAAUAAAUGGACAAACUAUAGAUAAAAUAUUCUAACUACUGUUGGGAAAAAUAGCAUAAGUUAAAAGAAUUAAAACACAAUCACAACACAAGAAUAUAACGUGGAAACUCCAAAACCGGAGAAAAAACCACGGCUGCUGCCUAAACCGACAACCAGAGAAUUAAUACUAUGUGAAAAUUGUUACAACACAUAGACUUCUCUCACUCACACCCCAGUACAAUCACACUCUUACUAAGCAAAUAUUUAAACUAAGUCAGAUAUAAGCUUAAAGUGCUAUUGUUGACUGAUGCAUUUGAAAACAAAGGACCAAAACCCAAUAUAUAGCCUUGGACUUCUCCUUAUUCUCCCACACUAAAGGAUGUGGGACUUGCAAUCAAC